ACAGCACCCACCCUGAGGGACCUUAUUAUUCAACGUCACAAGUUCCGUUAAGCAUAAAGAAACAUCAGGAGAAAAACGCAUUAAAUUUUUAAAAAUAGAACAAACAUCUUUUUUACUAAUGCUGGGAUAAAAAUUGGUGAUAUCAAGACAUAUAACUGUUCUUUUCCUAGUAUGAACAGCGGCAUUAGAUAUAUAAUCGCGACCACUUAACGCCCCAUGCAAAUAAUGAGGGUAAUCAAUUUUCUCAAAAAUCUCUUUAUUUAUUUUUUUUUUGAAUUCCUUUCAAAGAUCUCUUGGGUUCAAAAAUUUGCCUUUCUUUUUUAUUCUUCCCUGUUUCAACCUUAAACUGCUUGUACGACAUCGAUACAGACUUGACUAUCCAGUCCAAUCUUUUUCUUUCUAUGCCUAACA
rnacentral:rRNA from 1 species